rnacentral:rRNA from 1 species
CUACAUAGGGGGCAAGCGUUAUCCGGAAUUAUUGGGCGUAAAGGGUGCGUAGGCGGUCUAUUAAGUCUGAGGUGUAAGUGCAGGGCUCAACCCUGUGAUGCUUUAGAAACUGGUAGACUUGAGUGAGAUAGAGGCAAGUGGAAUUCCAUGUGUAGCGGUAAAAUGCGUAAAUAUAUGGAGGAACACCAGUGGCGAAGGCGGUUUGCGGGGUCUAUACUGACGCUGAGGCACGAAAGCGUGGGGAGCAAACAGUAUUAGAUACCCUGGUAGUCCACGCCGUAAACGAUGAGUACUAAGUGUUGCGAGAACGCAGUGCUGAAGUUAACAUAUUAAGUACUCCGCCUGAGUAGUACGUACGCAAGUAUGAAACUCAAAUGAAUUGGCGGGG